GGCUACUUUGGCCUGUGUGCACUCCACAAGAUCUGGAGGCAGUAAUGGACUGCUUGUGACACUUGGGAGCAUGCGAGGCAUGCCAUUAGCCCGGCUAUUCCCAGAAAGGAUGGUGGACAGAUCACCGCUGCCCUCAUUCAUCCACUUCUGUUGUAAUUGGGCUUGCCCAAGAGAUGUCGCCAAACCUUGUCCCAAGUUCCCAUGCUGGUUUCCUGGUAGGCUAAGAUGAUACUUAGCUGCAUCACCAAUCAAAGGAUUUGUUGUGCAACUGCUACUUCCAGUCGGAAUUGACCUGGAAGUGGCCACCCCCUGAAUCACAACCGCUGUCUGGUUGUUUCUAGGACUAUUUAGCAAUCCAUGUGCACUGAAAGUCGAUAGCGCUGCGGGAGAGGUGAAAGCUUGAUAACCCUGGAGUCCUUCGAAUGCAUCCAUGCGCAGAAAGGGGUCUCUGCCUCCCAAGGCAGCAACGAUGCCAGCUUGUUGUGAUGCCACAGCACUUAACCGUCGGAGAUAAAGCCUAUAUUUCUGCAUGUGACUUGCAACAUUUUCCCUAGUGAGUUUCUCAACAUUCAUAAGCUCGAGUAUCCUUUUUGGCACAGCUUC
rnacentral:rRNA from 1 species